GCAGGUGUGGUGCAAUGGGCAAGCACACGGGUCUCGUAAGCUCGUGGUAUGGGUUCAAAUCCCGUCUCCUGCUCUA
rnacentral:tRNA from 1 species